rnacentral:lncRNA from 10 species
GAGAGGCCAUGGGUGUUGUGAUGAUGGACUCAACAGGUCUCGACUUUAUAAUCCUCAUUCGACGAGCAUCAUUCAUCCAAUAAGCUCUUACUGAGCGUCUUCUUCUGUGUCAAAUGUUGUGCCAGGCUUUGGGGACACAGAUGUGAAGACAGGAUUACACAUGGAGGAACCUGGACUUUGGGGUACCUCAGGGUACAGAGUGUAAUCCCACCCCUUUAUCACCUAUGCCAAGCCAAUCAUGGAAUGGUAUGCCCCCAGCCUCAAUGAUGGCUUCCGAAGUGGGAACUUGACCUUAAGUGUUCUGAGCAGAGAAAAACCUAGGACUUUUGUCCCAUGGCAAAGGAAAAAGAGCUUUCUUCUGGAUGCUGCAGAAGGUAGAUGUGAUACCUGGCACAGCUGCAGUCAUUUUAUGACUAUGAGGAAGGCUGGAGGACAGAAAAGGAAACAGAAGAGAGAAGAGCCCUGAUCCAAUUCUGCCUACACAUGGCGGGUUGCCAGACUACAGUUUGAACAGCCUACACAUUCCUUUUAAAUAAAAGGAAGUGAUUUAAAUAAAUCAAUCUGUAGCCAAGAGCUCUAACUGAAAUGGGCAAGUAUUAUGUGCCUGCCAUUUACAUGACAAAUUUAAUUGAGUCCUCACAACAGCUUUUUAAUGUAGAAAUUGACAACCUCAUUUUACAGAUGAAAAUAUCAAACCUGGUGGUGAAAUGACUUUCUGAGGUCGCCCCAUUACAUAAGUAAGGGAUUUGGGUUCUAGAAGUUUGACUCCAACACCUUUUUGCUGCAAUACAAAGCUGCUUACUGUGUUGCAUGGGAAACUUCAUCAAAUUCUUCUCUCUCUUUGGGAUCCUCCUGGGAUUGUUUUUCCUGUUUUUGUUUUUGAAACUAGAGAAUGGAUCAAGUUUCAUUGCUGGGUUGACAAGGGCAUGCAGGGGCACAGGCCAUGUGAGGCAUGAUGCCAGACCCCAGGCCCUUGCAGAGAGUUUGGGGAAGCCUUCAGGACGUGUGGAAUUGCAGAGGCAGGACCACAAUUAGCUAGAUCUGAAGAGGCAGGGGACCCAGCUGCCAUCUGGGCUCUGAGUAGAAAAAGAGAAAUCAGAGCCUUAUAGAAAAGACAUCUGUACCUUGUUCUGCAGACAGACUUCCUGCUAUGAUGCACCUCCUUAUUUUUUGCAUACGGAGCAGGCUUGACAUUUAUGUAGAUUGAUUCCAACUUGGCAUUUUGACCAAAGGCGCUAUUAACCCUUUCCCUCCCGUCCUGGGGGAAAAAUGGCUUGUGGGGCCUGACCCACAAGUGACCCCAUCAGGCUGUUCCGGCCCUUUUCUGGCCUAGUCUCUGGCUGGGAAUGGAUGGCUUCUUUAUGACCCUGAGGAGGUAUGGCCAACAGGAAGCACAGUCGCUCUCUUCUGAGCUCAUUUUUCACCCUGGCUGGUUUUGCUGGAGAUGCAACCAAAGCUAAAUCUCAAUUUUGGGGGCAGGAGGAGCCGUCGGUGGAGUCAUCUGCACCUGGGCUGUUAGAUAAAACCUCCAUGCAGCCUCUAGAAGCCAAACUCAAGAUUUAAAGGGGAAGAGCUUUAUUUUGUUGACAAUUGCUUUACAAUUCACUUAGUAACA